rnacentral:rRNA from 1 species
UGGGGAAUUGUUCGCAAUGGGCGCAAGCCUGACGACGCAACGCCGCGUGGAGGAUGAAGAUCUUCGGGUCGUAAACUCCUUUCGAUCGGGAAGAACGCCUUCGGUGUGAAUAUCACCGAGGAGUGACGGUACCGAGAGCAGACGCCCCGGCUAACUUCGUGCCAGCAGCCGCGGUAAUACGAAGGGGGCUAGCGUUGUUCGGAUUUACUGGGCGUAAAGCGCACGUAGGCGGAUCGUUAAGUCGGGGGUGAAAUCCUGGAGCUCAACUCCAGAACUGCCUUCGAUACUGGCGAUCUUGAGUCCGGAAGAGGUGAGUGGAAUUCCUAGUGUAGAGGUGGAAUUCGUAGAUAUUAGGAAGAACACCAGUGGCGAAGGCGGCUCACUGGUCCGGUACUGACGCUGAGGUGCGAAAGCGUGGGGAGCAAAC